UUCCACAGUGUAGUGUCCUUGGGAUGGAGACUGGCUUGAUGCUUUUUGUGUGUUGUCUGAAGCAAUGAUUUGGGUUACAACAAGGCCUGGCUGAGGCGGGGGAUUGUGUGUGCCCAUGGAGCAGAGGGGUGCAGUCGGCUGGUCCCAAGGCAUGUUGUGGCAGUGUCUGUGCAUUGCCCGUUCCCUGGGUACGGGAAGGACAUGGGAGGAAGAAUGCAGAGAGCAGGGCCUGACCCUUCCAAAGGUGCUUGUGCUSCCAAAGGCAGGUCCCUUGCUAAUCUCCUUUUCCUUCUGCUUUUCUUUAUAGACAAACAGUCCAGAGGUCUGGAGACCAAGACCAUGGAGCUGAGUGAGUCUCUUCUUCCUGGUUCCACUUGUAAAACCCCUGCAAAAAUCUGGUCCCUCCUGAAUAGAGGAGAACAAGCUGCAGAACUGGGUGAGUCUCCCCACGCCGCGAGCUCUGGUCACYGAGCUGAGCCUUUGCCCAGGCUCCGGGUGCUCAGCCCUUUCCCUCUUUGCCCGUCCUCUGCAGCAGUGCAGUGGCUGGGCCCUGGGGAAACCCCAGUGUGAUGUGCAGGGAACUGUGGCCACCCCUGGGUGACGAGAACAGGGCUGGACCCUCUUGCCUGCCCAUGUCCACAGUGUGUCCCUGCCUGGGGACAGGCUGUGUGUUGUAACCGGCUCUCAUCUUUCCUUGCAGUGUGGAGAAGACUCGUUUUGCCUGUAGACAAAGGUAAAGCCAUUUUCUUGUUUAAUCUUUGUCACGCUAUGAAGGUUUAAUAGUAACAACUGAGA
rnacentral:lncRNA from 1 species